CAUAUUACACAAUAAAAGCAUUUGAGAUGAGGCAGCCCUACCGACUGUUACAUUUCCAGCUAAACUAACGCCUGACACCCUCACUACAAAGACAUCAGGCCAGGGAGCCCCCAGCUUUAUGCGCUGAAUCACUUUGUUGUGUGAACGCCACAUUUGAAAAGCUGUUCUGAUGGCAAGCGAGACUCAGGCCCUAAGUACAGACUGGACCAGGUGCUGCUAGUCAAGAGCCCGCACACCCAACCGCAGUAUAGGACCAGCAAGUAAACGCAGCUCUCUCAACAGAAGAGAUAGAGUUUAUGUUCAGAUUUCCCUUUCCACGCUGGGCAUUACACACAAGGCGUUGGACAUGCAGGACAAGCGCUUCCCACUGAACAGCAUCCCCAGCAUGACUUUCCAAGUUUCGGGAUGUAAGAUAAAGAAGGAAGUUACAGAAGGUUAUUCAUCGCCUCGGGAGAAACCCACCCUCAGCUUCGUGGAGCUAGCACCUCGCUCAAUCUCUCGGUUCAAAGCAAGAGGAGGCCACUGAGCAUUAAGGUCUUUGAAGAAACUGGCUAGAAAUGCAGAAACAGUUGCCUGAGAGGCAGGGCUGCGGUGGGCACCAUCUUGGGGAGGAGGAUUGCGCGCCAGCUUCUCUCACAGGCCUGACACCAUUCCUGUCCUGUUCCCAUGGAAGGUUUGUACCACCGGUGUUUACAGGUGCUCAGCGGGAUCCUAAAAGUCCCCACACAUCCCGUAAAGAAAGCAAUGUCCUCUGUGUAGAUAUCUACUCAUGUCUUCACACGCCC